UGGGGAAUAUUGCGCAAUGGGGGAAACCCUGACGCAGCAACGCCGCGUGCGGGAUGAAGGCCUUCGGGUUGUAAACCGCUUUCAGCAGGGAAGACAUCGACGGUACCUGCAGAAGAAGCCCCGGCUAACUACGUGCCAGCAGCCGCGGUAAUACGUAGGGGGCGAGCGUUAUCCGGAUUCAUUGGGCGUAAAGCGCGCGCAGGCGGUUGCUCAAGCGGAACCUCUAAUCUCGGGGCUUAACCUCGAGCCGGGUUCCGAACUGGACGACUCGAGUGCGGUAGAGGCAGAUGGAAUUCCCGGUGUAGCGGUGGAAUGCGCAGAUAUCGGGAAGAACACCAACGGCGAAGGCAGUCUGCUGGGCCGUCACUGACGCUGAGGCGCGAAAGCUGGGGGAGCGAUCAGG
rnacentral:rRNA from 1 species